rnacentral:lncRNA from 1 species
AUGAAGAAGAUGAAACAAUGGUGUCUGUAUUGCCAGUGGCAGCACAGCAAUCCAGGACUGGACAUGGUGUGGUUAUUAGUGAUCUGGAGGUUCUCCAUAAACACCAGAAGAUGCAUGGGCAUGCUUUUCAUUACUCACUGGAGAGGCAGCUCAGCAGCUGAGCUUAUACAGUAUAGCAUCAAGGCUUCGUGCUAUCUAUCUCGUCAGUUUCACAGCCUCAUCUUCAGUUUUUGCUAAAGAGAAGUCCAAGCAAGGAUUUUCAGCCAACAGUUACUUCCAACUUCUUCCAAAAGAAGACAUCUGUGCAUUGAAGAUCUGUAUCAGUCACAUCUCAGUUGCUGCUGCAAGACCACUAAGGUGAAAAACACUUUCACAUCUGAGUGAUCCUUUCUGACAUAAGUGGAGAGCGGACGCAUGCUUAUCUAUUACAUCAUCAGGAGACUGAUUUGUAGAUCUCUGCUUUCAGAGAUCUACAUUUCUCAACAUUUCAAACAUACAGAUCUCAACAUUUCAAAGAUAGGAAGCAAAGAUACUAAAGUACAGGUAUAAUGAACCAUUGCAAAAUAAAUAAAUAGAGGACAAAGAAGUUUUUGUAACU